AUUAAUAUUUUAAAUAUAACGCGUAUCAUAAAAAUAAUUAAAUAACAAUUAAUUCAAAUAUGUUUUAUAAUUUCAGAUUCAUCAUAUUCGUACAUAUUUACUAGUCAUCAGGUGUUAGCACUGCACCAAUAAUAGAAUUUCCACGAGCAGCAACCAUAAUUCGGCAUAAAAACCGCAAACUUAACGCUCAAUUUACUAAAAUAUUGCACAGCACAAUUAAAUUUUUAAUAACGAAUGCCGAAGAGCAACAUCCAUUUAUCAUUUUGCACAAAAACUGAAAAUUUUACUAAAAUAUUACCCUGCACAAUUCAAUUUUAUAGUCCAGUCCGCAAGCUAAAAAUACGCUACUAAAAUUUUAUAAAUUGAAUUUAUUAUUAAAAAAAAUUUCAAUUCAUUUGAGUCACCCGGUGUCAAAAAAUGUAAUUUAUUUUGUAAUAACAGCAGAGAGCGAUUUUUCCUAAUUUUUCUUAAAAAAAAAAAUUUCAAAUCAUCUGGGUCACCCGGUGGCAAAAAGCGAAAUUUCCCAAUGUGCUACCAGCCCGAUUUGCACCAGGCGCGCAGAACGCACCAGUAGGUGGAUGCUCCCAAAAAAAGUUUCAAAUCAUCUGGGUCACCCGGUGGCCGAUCGCAAAUAGACGCAUUUUUGCUGCAUACUUUUAGGCAGCGGAAGUUGAUGUCGACAGUUUGAGCGGCACUGUGUUAGAAAAAACUGUCGCUGUGUGCAAACCUGCAUUGCUGUUUACGUGCAAACAAGAAUUUCUGUUUGUAAAUUGAUUUUUUCACUUUAACAACGUAAAUUUUUAUUAAAUUGCUAUUUUUCACAAUUUCACUUGCGUGUGUCUUGAAAGUGUUUCGUUGCUGUUCAAAAUACAUACAUACAUGCGCAUACAUUUCAAUUUAUUACUAUUUAUGCAUAUGUAUGCGACCUUUAAUGCACUAUAAUUGCUAUGUAGCACAUCUAAAUUGUUUGUUUUUUUUAU